rnacentral:rRNA from 1 species
UAGGGAAUCUUCGGCAAUGGGGGGAACCCUGACCGAGCAACGCCGCGUGAGUGAAGAAGGUUUUCGGAUCGUAAAGCUCUGUUGUUAAGGAAGAACGAGUGUGAGAAUGGAAAGUUCAUGCUGUGACGGUACUUAACCAGAAAGGGACGGCUAACUACGUGCCAGCAGCCGCGGUAAUACGUAGGUCCCGAGCGUUGUCCGGUUUUAUUGGGCGUAAAGCGAGCGCAGGCGGUUAGAAAAGUCUGAAGUGAAAGGCAGUGGCUCAACCAUUGUAGGCUUUAGAAACUGUUUAACUUGAGUGCAGAAGGGGAGAGUGGAAUUCCAUGUGUAGCGGUGAAAUGCGUAGAUAUAUGGAGGAACACCGGUGGCGAAAGCGGCUCUCUGGUCUGUAACUGACGCUGAGGCUCGAAAGCGUGGGGAGCGAACAGG